rnacentral:tRNA from 1 species
AGGAGCUUAGGAUAAACAAAACCGAGAGCCUUCAAAGCCCUAAACAAGAGUCCUACCUCUUAGCCCCUG